AACGAACGCUGGCGGCAUGCCUAACACAUGCAAGUCGAACGAGACCUUCGGGUCUAGUGGCGCACGUGUGCGUAACGCGGGGGAACCUGCCCUUAGGUUCGGAAUAACUCCCCGAAAGGUGUGCUAAUACCGGAUAAUGUCUUCGGACCAAAGAUUUCUCGCCAUUGGAUGGGCCCGCGUUGGCUUAGCUAGUUGGUAGGGUAAAAGCAUACCAAGGCGACGAUCCAUGGCUGGUCUGAGAGGAUGAUCAGCCACACUGGGACUGAGACACGGCCCAGACUCCUACGGGAGGCAGCAGUGGGGAAUAUUGGGCGAUGGGCGAAAGUCUGAUCCAGCAAUGCCGCGUGAGUGAUGAAGGGCUUAGGGUUGUAAAGCUCUUUUACCCGGGAUGAUAAUGACAGUACCGGGAGAAUAAGCACCGGCUAACUCCGUG
rnacentral:rRNA from 1 species